CACGUAGGGGACGAGCGUUGUCCGGAUUCAUUGGGCGUAAAGCGCGCGUAGGCGGCCCGGCAAGUCGGAUGUGAAAACCUGGGGCUCAACCCCAGGCGUGCACCCGAUACUCCCGGGCUGGAGGCAGGUAGGGGAGAUCGGAAUUCCUGGUGUAGCGGUGAAAUGCGCAGAUAUCAGGAGGAACACCGGUGGCGAAGGCGGAUCUCUGGGCCUUGCCUGACGCUGAGGCGCGAAAGCUAGGGGAGCGAACAGG
rnacentral:rRNA from 1 species